CAAGUGCUGUGAAGAUGUGGAGAAAAGGGAACCCUCGUGCCCUGCUGGUGUGAAUGCAAAUUAGUGCAGCGAUUAUGGAAACAACAGUAUGGAGGUUCCUCAAAAAAUUAAAAACAGAACUACAGUAUGAUCCAGCAAUUUCACUUCCAGCUAUAAAACCAAAAAGAAAUGAAAG